rnacentral:rRNA from 1 species
UACGAAGGGUGCAAACGUUGCUCGGAAUUAUUGGGCGUAAAGCGCACGUAGGCGGCAUUGCAAGUCGGGUGUGAGAGCCCUCAGCUCAACUGAGGAAGUGCGCCCGAAACUGCAGAGCUUGAGUACCGGAGAGGAUGGCGGAAUUCCCCAAGUAGAGGUGAAAUUCGUAGAUAUGGGGAGGAACACCGGUGGCGAAGGCGGCCAUCUGGACGGAUACUGACGCUGAGACGCGAAAGCGUGGGUAGCAAACAGG